AGAACGAACGCUGGCGGCAGGCUUAACACAUGCAAGUCGAGCGCCCCGCAAGGGGAGCGGCAGACGGGUGAGUAACGCGUGGGAACAUACCCUCCGGUUCGGAAUAGCUCAGGGAAACUUGGAUUAAUACCGGAUACGGCCUAGCGGCGAAAGAUUCAUCGCCGGAGGAUUGGCCCGCGUUCGAUUAGCUAGUUGGUGAGGUAACGGCUCACCAAGGCGACGAUCGAUAGCUGGUCUGAGAGGAUGAUCAGCCACAUUGGGACUGAGACACGGCCCAAACUCCUACGGGAGGCAGCAGUGGGGAAUAUUGGACAAUGGGCGCAAGCCUGAUCCAGCCAUGCCGCGUGAGUGAUGAAGGCCUUCGGGUUGUAAAGCUCUUUAGUCCACGAAUAUAAUGACUGUAGUGGAAGAAUAAGCCCGGCUAACUUCGUGCCAGCAGCCGC
rnacentral:rRNA from 1 species